rnacentral:rRNA from 1 species
AGGGCGUAUGGUGGAUGCCUUGGCAGACAGUACCGAUGAAGGACGCUUGAGGAUGCGAUAAGCCUCGGGGAGCCUCCAACAUGGCUUCGAUCCGAGGAUUUCCGAAUGGGGCAACCCGCCGGCCGUCAUGGGCCGGCACGGAACCUUGUUGUUCCGGGGGUACGCAGGGAAGUGAAACAUCUCAGUACCUGCAGGAAGGGAUACUCCGUGAGUAGUGGCGAGCGAAAGCGGAUCAGACCAAACCAUGGGCGCGUGAUACCCGUCGGGGGUUGCGUUCGUGGUGUUGAGGGAGCGUGUGUCCCGGUUCCGACGGACCGGGCGGGAGUCAUAAAACGGCUUGCCAGGGGAACAGGCUUGAAGGCCUGGCCGCAGAGGGUGCCAGCCCCGUACCUGGAAGCUUGCCGUCUUCCGAUCAUGUGUCCCAAGUAGCGCGGGCCUCGUGGAAUCCCGUGUGAAUCGGCCCCGACCGUGGGGUAAGUCUAAGCAUACCUGUCUGACCGAUAGCGUACCAGUACCGUGAGGGAAAGGUGAAAAGCACCCCGGGAGGGGAGUGAAAGAGUUCCUGAAACCGUGCGCCUACAAUCCGUCGGAGCCUCCUUGUGGGGUGACGGCGUGCCUAUCGAAAAAUGAGUCUGCGAGUCAGUGGUGCGUGGCGAGGCUAACCCGUGGUGGGGGAGCCGUAGCGAAGGCGAGUCUCAAAAGGCGUUUUGAGUCGCGCGCCCUGGACCCGAAGCGGGAUGAUCUAGCCCUGGGCAGGUUGAAGCGCGGGUAAGACCGCGUGGAGGACCGAACCCACCUGGGUUGAAAACCGGGGGGAUGACCUGGGGCUAGGGGUGAAAGGCCAAUCAAAUUCCGUGAUAGCUGGUUCUCUCCGAAAUGCAUUUAGGUGCAGCGUCGGUUGAUUGCAUCGCGGGGGUAGAGCUACUGGAUGCUUGCGGGCCCGUGUCGGGUACCAAUAGCAGCCAAACUCCGAAUACCGUGGAUGUGUAUUCCGGCAGUGAGUCGGCGGGGGAUAAGCUCCGUCGUCGAGAGGGAGACAGCCCAGAUCGUCGUCUAAGGUCCCGAAGCGUGUGCUAAGUGGGAAAGGAUGUGGAGUCGCAUAGACAGCCAGGAGGUUGGCUCAGAAGCAGCCAUCCUUUAAAGAGUGCGUAACAGCUCACUGGUCUAGUGGUUCCGCGCCGACAAUGUAGCGGGGCUCAAGCACACCACCGAAGACGCGGCAGCGGCCUUUGCGGCCGUUGGGUAGGAGAGCGUCCCGCGUGGGGCGAAGCGGCCGGGGAACCGUGCCGUGGACCGCGCGGGAGUGAGAAUGCAGACAUGAGUAGCGAGAGACGGGUGAGGAUCCCGUCCGCUGGAUGACCAAGGGUUCCGGGGCCACGUUCGUCGUCCCCGGGUGAGUCGGGUCCUAAGGCGAGGCCGACAGGCGUAGUCGAAUGGAUGAACGGGUGGAUAUUCCCGUACCGGCGGCGUACCGUAAGAGCCGAACGGAUGAGUACUAACCUCCGGUCGCGUGGCGUCGUUCCCUUCGGGGUUCGGGGCGCGUGGCUGUUGGGAGCGUAGUCCUGGUAGGCUAGCGCACAGGGGUGACACGGAAUGGGAGCCGGCCGCGGAGGUGGUUUUCCGUGGUCAAGCACGCAGCCCGUCCCAUAGGCAAAUCCGUGGGACGCAUAGGGUGAGGUGUGAUGAUGGGCGUCUUUUAUGGCGCGAUAUCCGGUGGUCCAGGCCGUCGAGAAAAGCCUCGGCGCGAGGGGCGUCGCCGCCCGUACCCCAAACCGACACAGGUGGUCAGGUAGAGAAUACCAAGGCGAUCGAGCGAAUCCUGGUCAAGGAACUCGGCAAAUCACUCCCGUGCCUUCGGUAUAAGGGAGACCCCCGGGCGUGAAGAGGCUUGCCCUCGGAGCGUUGGGGGGUGGCACAGACCAGGGGGUAGCGACUGUUUACCAAAAACACAGGUGCAUGCGAAGGCGCAAGCCGCUGUAUAUGCACUGACGCCUGCCCGGUGCCGGAAGGUUAAGAGGAUCCGUCAGCCCCUUUUGGGGUGAAGCGGUGAAUUCAAGCCCCGGUAAACGGCGGUGGUAACUAUAACCAUCCUAAGGUAGCGAAAUUCCUUGUCGGGUAAGUUCCGACCUGCACGAAUGGCGUAACGACUUCCCCACUGUCUCGACCAGGAGCUCGGCGAAAUUGCAGUACGAGUAAAGAUGCUCGUUAAGCGCAGAAGGACGAAAAGACCCCGGGACCUUUACUAU